GUCUAGCUGACGAGUCCCAAAUGAGACGAAACACUCGUCCUGGAU
rnacentral:hammerhead_ribozyme from 1 species